rnacentral:rRNA from 1 species
UGAGGGAAUAUUUGGGGUCAAUGGGCGGGAGCCUGAACCAGCCAAGUAGCGUGCAGGAUGACGGCCCUAUGGGUUGUAAACUGCUUUUGCGCGGGGAUAAAGUGCGCCACGUGUGGCUCAUUGCAGGUACCGCGCGAAUAAGGACCGGCUAAUUCCGUGCCAGCAGCCGCGGUAAUACGGAAGGUCCGGGCGUUAUCCGGAUUCAUUGGGUUUAAAGGGAGCGCAGGCCGCCCCUUAAGCGUGUUGUGAAAUGCCGCGGCUCAACCGUGGCACUGCAGCGCGAACUGGGGGGCUUGAGUGCGCGCAGCGCAGGCGGAACUCGUGGUGUAGCGGUGAAAUGCUUAGAUAUCACGAAGAACUCCGAUCGCGAAGGCAGCCUGCGGGAGCGCAACUGACGCUGAGGCUCGAAAGUGCGGGGUAUCG